CUGGUGUGAUGGGACAUUGUCC
rnacentral:miRNA from 1 species